UCCGUAGGGUGAACCUGCGGAGGGAUCAUUAUAGAGUUUUCUAAACUCCCAACCCAUGUGAACUUACCAUUGUUGCCUCGGCAGAAGCUGCUCGGUGCACCUUACCUUGGAACGGCCUACCCUGUAGCGCCUUACCCUGGAACGGCUUACCCUGCAACGGCUGCCGGUGGACUACCAAACUCUUGUUAUUUUAUGGUUAUCUGAGCGUCUUAUUUUAAUAAGUCAAAACUUUCAACAACGGAUCUCUUGGUUCUGGCAUCGAUGAAGAACGCAGCGAAAUGCGAUAAGUAAUGUGAAUUGCAGAAUUCAGUGAAUCAUCGAAUCUUUGAACGCACAUUGCGCCCAUUAGUAUUCUAGUGGGCAUGCCUGUUCGAGCGUCAUUUCAACCCUUAAGCCUAGCUUAGUGUUGGGAGCCUACUGCUUUUGCUAGCUGUAGCUCCUGAAAUACAACGGCGGAUCUGCGAUAUCCUCUGAGCGUAGUAAUUUUUAUCUCGCUUUUGACUGGAGUUGCAGCGUCUUUAGCCGCUAAACCCCCCAAUUUUUAAUGGUUGACCUCGGAUCAGGCAGCAGAGAUAAAACU
rnacentral:rRNA from 1 species